rnacentral:rRNA from 1 species
CGUUAAGGCGGUUGGCAAAGUUGGUUGUGAAAUCUCAGGGCUCAACCCUGAAAUUGCGACCAAUACUGGUCGACUAGAGUGCAAGAGAGGAAGGUGGAAUUCCCGGUGUAGUAGUGAAAUGCGUAGAUAUCGGGAGGAACACCAGUGGCGAAGGCGGCCUUCUGGCUUGUAACUGACGCUGUAGCGCGAAAGCGUGGGGAGCGAACCGGAUUAGAUACCCGGGUAGUCCACGCCCUAAACGUUGUGUACUAGGUGUUGGGCGUAUUGACGCGCUCAGUGCCGUAGCUAACGCAUUAAGUACACCGCCUGGGGAGUACGGUCGCAAGAUUAAA